AUUGAACGCUGGCGGAAUGCCUUACACAUGCAAGUCGAACGGUAACAGGUCUUCGGAUGCUGACGAGUGGCGAACGGGUGAGUAAUACAUCGGAACGUGCCUAGUAGUGGGGGAUAACUACUCGAAAGAGUGGCUAAUACCGCAUGAGAUCUACGGAUGAAAGCAGGGGAUCGCAAGACCUUGUGCUACUAGAGCGGCCGAUGGCAGAUUAGGUAGUUGGUGGGAUAAAAGCUUACCAAGCCGACGAUCUGUAGCUGGGCUGAGAGGACGAUCAGCCACACUGUGACUGAGACACGGCCCAGACUCCUACGGGAGGCAGCAGUGGGGAAUUUUGGACAAUGGGCGCAAGCCUGAUCCAGCAAUGCCGCGUGCAGGAUGAAGGCCUUCGGGUUGUAAACUGCUUUUGUACGGAACGAAAAGCCCUGGGUUAAUACCCUGGGGUCAUGACGGUACCGUAAGAAUAAGCACCGGCUAACUACGUGCCAGCAGCCGCGGUAACAC
rnacentral:rRNA from 1 species